rnacentral:tRNA from 1 species
GGAGAGCUGUCCGAGCUGGUUGAAGGAGCACGCCUGGAAAGCGUGUAUACGGCGAAAGUUGUAUCGCGAGUUCGAAUCUCGCGCUCUCCGCCA